rnacentral:lncRNA from 1 species
GGUACAAGAAUGCCCCAAGGCAUCACAGGGACUGGUAGGGGUGCUCCAGCAUUGUCCACGUUGAAGGACUGAUCACACAGUACAUGGUGUCAAACUCCACUUUUCUUUCUAGGGCUGUGUCCUCAUGCUGUUAUGGAGAGAGCCUUGUCUUCUGAUUCUCCCAACCUGAGAGUUCUUUUCUGCUGAUAACAGUUAAGCGAAAGAUGAUGUCAGUGUGCUGUGUGAUCCUCCUUUCUGAUGCUGUGUGCAGACUGAGUUGGAAGAAGCUUUUCUUGUUCUACUGUCAUUUUCUUGUCUCAAGCUGGUGGGGAGAAGUUGCUUGCCCCUACCCAGGAGAGUUAAGCAGGUGCUCGAGCAAGCUCCACACCUUCUACGACAAAGCUGAUUGUGGCUUCACGUUCAUUGCUAUCAUCAGACCUUCCCGCUCAGCUGUGUAAAACAGAAGUACAUAAACCCAUCUUCAGAGAUGUGCAACUAAACUUCAUGGCAGAACAGACA